GUGAACGCUGGCGGUAGGCCUAACACAUGCCAGUCGCACGGCAGCACAGGAGAGCUUGCUCUCUGGGUGGCGAGUGGCGGACGGGUGAGGAAUACAUCGGAAUCUGCCCAGUCGUGGGGGAUAACGUAGGGAAACUUACGCUAAUACCGCAUACGACCUUCGGGUGAAAGAGGGGGAUCGCAAGACCUCUCGCGAUUGGAUGAGCCGAUGUCGGAUUAGCUAGUUGGCGGGGUAAUGGCCCACCAAGGCGACGAUCCGUAGCUGGUCUGAGAGGAUGAUCAGCCACACUGGAACUGAGACACGGUCCAGACUCCUACGGGAGGCAGCAGUGGGGAAUAUUGGACAAUGGGCGCAAGCCUGAUCCAGCCAUACCGCGUGGGUGAAGAAGGCCUUCGGGUUGUAAAGCCCUUUUGUUGGGAAAGAAAUCUUUCAGGCUAAUACCCUGGGAGGAUGACGGUACCCAAAGAAUAAGCACCGGCUAACCUCGUG
rnacentral:rRNA from 1 species